UCAUUUCUGGUUUAAUGUUGGAGAAUGUCAGUUUGUCGUGCUGGAGGUGAUAGUUUUAUCGAAGUGGG
rnacentral:tRNA from 1 species